AUUGAACGCUGGCGGCAGGCUUAACACAUGCAAGUCGAGCGGGGGAAGGUAGCUUGCUACCGGACCUAGCGGCGGACGGGUGAGUAAUGCUUAGGAAUCUGCCUAUUAGUGGGGGACAACAUCUCGAAAGGGAUGCUAAUACCGCAUACGUCCUACGGGAGAAAGCAGGGGAUCUUCGGACCUUGCGCUAAUAGAUGAGCCUAAGUCAGAUUAGCUAGUUGGUGGGGUAAAGGCCUACCAAGGCGACGAUCUGUAGCGGGUCUGAGAGGAUGAUCCGCCACACUGGGACUGAGACACGGCCCAGACUCCUACGGGAGGCAGCAGUGGGGAAUAUUGGACAAUGGGGGGAACCCUGAUCCAGCCAUGCCGCGUGUGUGAAGAAGGCCUUAUGGUUGUAAAGCACUUUAAGCGGGGAGGAGGCUACUUUAGUUAAUACCUAGAGAUAGCGGACGUUACUCGCAGAAUAAGCACCGGCUAACUCUGUGCCAGCCGCCGCAGUAA
rnacentral:rRNA from 1 species